UACGUAGGGGGCGAGCGUUGUCCGAAUUUACUGGGCGUAAAGCGCGCGUAGGCGGGUUUUUAAGUUGAGGGUGAAAUUCCGAGGCUCAACCUCGGAACUGCCUUCAAAACUGGGAACCUGGAGGUAUGGAGAGGGAAGUGGAAUUCCUGGUGUAGCGGUGAAAUGCGUAGAUAUCAGGAGGAACACCUGUGGCGAAGGCGGCUUCCUGGCCAUAUCCUGACGCUGAGGUGCGAAAGCUAGGGGAG
rnacentral:rRNA from 1 species